CGAAAGUCUGAUGGAGCAACGCCGCGUGAGUGAAGAAGGUUUUCGGAUCGUAAAACUCUGUUGUUGGAGAAGAACACGUUUGAGAGUAACUGUUCAGACGUUGACGGUAUCCAACCAGAAAGCCACGGCUAACUACGUGCCAGCAGCCGCGGUAAUACGUAGGUGGCAAGCGUUGUCCGGAUUUACUGGGUGUAAAGGGCGUGUAGGCGGAGCGGCAAGUCAGAAGUGAAAUCUCCGGGCUUAACCCGGAAACUGCUUUUGAAACUGUCGCCCUUGAGUAUCGGAGAGGCAGGCGGAAUUCCUAGUGUAGCGGUGAAAUGCGUAGAUAUUAGGAGGAACACCAGUGGCGAAGGCGGCUUGCUGGACGACAACUGACGCUGAGGCGCGAAAGCGUGGGGAGCAAACA
rnacentral:rRNA from 1 species